CAUCGUCAUUCAGUCUGACUCCAACGGUCCAACCCACCGAAUCCUUCUCCACAAAUUCUACUCCGCCAUCUCAUCUGCUUCGAUAAACAAGCCACGUAAUGUCAACGCUCCUCGGCACCAUCAUAGUUUUUAGGUUCAAUUCGACUGCCCGUGCACAAGAAUCUCAACGGGAGAGGGAGAGAGAGAUCCUCGCCAACGCAGGAAGCUCUGGCUGCGGCGCUGGUCUUCGUCAGGCUCGCCGCAGAGUCUCGGACGCCCGUGGCCCGGUGAUCGAUGGAGGACAGCGGCGGUAAGGUCUCAUGGCCACCUGGCGGCGCCGCCUUCUCCCGCCACGCUGUCGACUAGGUCCAUCACUAUGUUCUUGCAAGCUAUAACAGCACCGUCAUACCGAAGGGAAAACAACAGCACGAACAUCAGAGACGUUUGCAGGAACCAUACUACCACCCACUAUGAAGAGCCUGCUGAGUGAAGGGCGACGAGGGACGCGUACGCGCCAUCCUUGAUGUUGAUCAAGCGGUGUGCGACGAUCACCGUUGUCCGGUUCACCAUCACCCUGUCCAGCGCAUCCUGGACCACCCGUUCGGAUUCAGCAUCCAGUGCACUGGUUGCUUCGUCCAGCAGCAGGAUCCUAGGGUUCUUCACAAUUGCGCGGGCGAUCGCCACACGCUGCUUCUGCCCUCCUGACAACUGAGCUCCACGCUCUCCAGCCAUUGUGUCAUACCCCUGCAUUUUUCAGUAUAGGAUGAAGAACAAAACAUUGUACUCGAAGAAAAUCUUGAUGCAAGCUCACAAGGAAAUCCUGCGGAAGACCAUGAUUUUAUGUCUCCUGGUGCCCCUUCAUCUAUGACCACAAGAAAUCCUGGCGUGGAUUCCCGAGGAGUUCCUCUGGUGGGUGAUCCAGAGUUUGGGCUGUCCAGUGGUGCGUUGCAUCGGUACUUGGCGUCGCUCGGUGCACCUGGCUCAGUGCGCAUGUGCAUGGCGUCGCCCGGUGCUUCUACUCCAGCACGUGUGGCGUCGCUCGGUGCUGCUAUCCAAGCGUGUGUGCCACGAAAGCCUGCACCAACACCUCUUGCAUCGCCACGUGAAUCUAUGCAUCGACCGUUGGCGCCUUCAAUGCAGCAACCGGCACGGCGGUAGCAAUAGGAAAUCGAGGCUACAUGUAUCUCUAUGUUACCUCAUGUGCAUGAUUUGGCCAAUUCUAGCACACAAUCUGGAGAUUAUGAUCUAAGUUUUAAUCCGAAAGAGACCGUUGAUUUAAGUCUCGUUACUCGGCUGCACAACAAUAGUGUUAAACCUAAUAUGUUUACUGAUGAAACAAUACGGUAUGGUUUUCUUAGUGCAACAGGAGAACCUCAGAACUUACAAGAUGUAAUGGAAGAUUCUAGGUGGAAGCAAGCAAUGGAUGAGGAGUACCUUGCGUUAAUGAAUAAUCAAACUUGGCACUUGGUUCCACCUAAAGGUGCUAGUAAUGUUAUAGAUUGUAAAUGUGUUUAUAAGAUAAAACGGGAAGCUGAUGGAACAGUUGAAAGGUAUAAGGCGCGUUUAGUUGUAGAAGGGUUAAAACAACGAUACGAUAUUGGUUAUGAGAAUACUUUUAGUCCUAUUGUGAAUGUUGUUUACAGGAAUUGGUGUCUUCGACAGUUGGAUGUAAAGAACGUGUUUCUCCAUGGCGUUCUAGAGGAGGAAGUCUAUAUGAGGCAGCCACCUAGGUAUGAAAAUUCCUCUCAUUCUGAAUAUAUAUGCAAACUGGAUAAAAUAUUGUAUGGACUCAAGCAAGCUCCUCGGGCAUGGUAUUUUAGACCUAGUACAAAAUUGCAGCAGCUUGGUUUUGUUGCUUCUAAAGCCAAUACAUCUUUGUUUAUUUUUAAUAAGGGGGAGUGAUUAUAUUUUUCUUAUCUGUGUGGAUGACAUUAUUGUGGCUAGUUUUUCGGAUAAUGCAGUAGAAGCUCUUCUUCAGAAUUUGAAUAGUGAGUUUGCCUUGAAGGAAUUAGGAGAUCUUCACUAUUUUCUAGGAAUUAAAGUAAAGAAAGCUACAUAUGGUGUUAUUCUCAGGAAAAAUAUGCUACUAAAUUAUUAGAGCAAGUUGGGACGAAACACUGCAAGCCUGUGACUACUCCUAUCUCAACAUCAGAGAAAAUUUCAAUAAUUGAAGGUAAUCCUUUAAAGAGUGAAGAUUCAACAAGGUAUAAAAGUAUUGUUGGUGUUUUGCAGUAUUUGACAUUAACUCACCCAGAUAUUGCCUUCUCUGUUAACAAAGUUUGUUAAUUCCUUCAUGCACCAACAUCAUUAUAUUGGACAGCAGUGAAACAAAUUUUGCGUUAUAUUUCCUAUACUUCAAAAUUGGGGAUUAAAUUUAGAAGAUCAUCUUCUUUUUUGGUUAGUGCAUUCUCUGAUGCAGACUGAGUAGGAUGUUCAGAUGAUAGAAGAUCUACAGGAGGUUUUGUUGUUUUUUUUU